CUCUAAUUAGGAUAGUCAGGUUAUAUCUUUUAUUAAGGUAAUAAUAUGAAAUAACCAUUAGCCGUAAAUUUGGCCCUUUGGUCGUUGUUUAUAUUUCACCGUUCUAGAUAACCUAUCGGACGGUUACAUGUUGUUGCAGGGACCUCGGCUUGUUUCAAGGUUCGAGGCGGUAUGUUACACAACAAUCAUCCACUAGAAAAAUCUGGAGGAAACGCACCAUAUUUUCGCAAGAUUUAAAAAAGGGGCAUUGUUUUAUUUAUACACUAUACACAGCCGAUAGAACGCCGCCUCACUUAUCUUAAAGCUUUAUUGAUUGUAGACGAGUCACGUGACAACAUCCUUCCGUGCUCCGUCUUAUGUCAGACCGCUUUGCGUUCCCUUGUUUACGUUUUAGUCAUACUAAAAUUGUGGCAGUUAUUCAUGCGUGACACCGAACAUUCGUACUGACUGCUAGCUCUCUAACUAUUUGCGAUGGAGUCUUUCAUGGAAAAGGACUCUUUUGACCCUUUGCUUUACGAAGAAGACGAAGAUGAGCACGAGACAAGGUCAUACCUAGAGAAAAAGACUGAUAUUUUAACUUCACCUUUUUGUCGCCCCCAAUCCCUCUAUCAUGAAAUAAACGAACGAAGCAGAGUUGAAAAUCGCACUUAUUGGGUAGAAUCUACCAACAUAUCAUCAUCCCUCCAAACUUCGCGGACUUCAAUCAAGAUUAAAGUGAGAUCGUGUCGGAAUGGUCAGCGUACAAUGGAGACAAAAAAGCGGGAUAGUCAACAAGGAUUCAAACGGUUCCGGCAGGAAAAAUUAGAAAUAAGAACAAAAUGUGAUAUUCUAGAUCCAUAUAUUGACAAAUUUUCCCUCAUUAAGGCUAGAAGACGAAGAACCGAACAAAACAGAAAAAGGGAACGUAUUUUCAAAUCUAAGAAACCAUUGAAAGAAAGCAGAAAAUCCCCAAUAUUCGAAUCUUCAGAAGAUGAUAAAAUUGAAAUUGACGGCGAUAGCGAGUUAUAUGACAGAAGCGACGAUUUUGAACAUUUCACAAUAGAUUUGAAGCGUGUUGGUAUUGCUUCAAACGAAGAAAGAAUUGAGGAUAAAUUGUUAGCUAGCAGUAUUUCGCAUUUUUUCAAGAAAAAACCAAAUAUCUCCAUUCAACCAAUUGAUCAAGAAGACUUGAAAACUUUAAGCAAAGAUGGGUACAUAAAGACUGAAUCAUUAGAUAAAAUGAACAAGGAGAACACGCCAACAAGUUUUAAAGUUUGUAACAGCGAUGAUUUUCCUAAAAAGACUGUAAUAAUCACACCAGAACACCUUAAUAAGAUAAAGUCAAAACUAAAGGCGGUUUCCUAUGAGAAAUCGAUAACAAAAUCACCUACACACAUCGCAAAAGAGAACGAAGCAGACGAUAAAGAAGAGGCCCCAAGUCUUCCAAACCUUGAAGUUGAAAAUCACACAGCUUUAUUUUCAUAUUGUGAAGAUGGUCUUCAACCACCUACGUUAAUUCCUGAAAUGAACUGUUCAACAAAUAGCCCCAUUGUUUAUUUGGAAACAAAGCCAGACGUAACAGAGCUAAACAGAGAAAUGGCUAUUCAAGACACGCCCUCGAGUUCGAUUUCAGAAACUGACGAAGAAUUGACUGAAAAAAAUGAUUUUGACAGUGUCAUAAAUUGUAGUGAAGGAAGCCGCUGUCAGCAUUUGGAUGUAUUUGUAGCUAAAGACUCCACAGAUGAUACAAUGAAGUUAGAAAAUGACGGCUUAGACAAUGUAGAUUUGAUGCUUUCACUACCAAAGAAGAGUAGAAGCUCAGCUUCGAAGACAGAAAGUGACGAUUGUCAUUCUAACAGUGACUCAGAAGUUGAUGGCAUGUCUCCACCACUAGCAAUAACUACUUUUGAAAACCAAGUGCCAAAUACAAAUUCAUUAAUCAUCGAUUCAAACAGCCAUUCUAAUCACUCAUGCAAAACUUCUUCCAUCAGUCAUCAAACUACUCAAUUCACUACUAUUCAAAAUUCAUCAUAUUCUUUGCUUGAAAAUUCAUCAUGUGCUCUCCCCUCUGAAAGUAAUACAGCUGAAAAAGUUUCAGAACUAGAUAUGUCAAGUAGGGUCUGUGAACAAAAGACAUCUCAUAAUCAAAAUGAAAUGGAAAACAAGAACACAGCAGGCUGUCCAGAAGGUUUGACUAUGUGUGCCGAACCAUCGAUUGGCCUGCUUGAAAAAAGCAAACGAUGUCAGGGGUUACCAAUCAUUCAAUCCAACCGUACCAACAAAAGCUUUGGUGAUGGUUCUUGUCUUGUUGCAAAAGAACCAAGCGAAGCAGCUUGUGUAAAUGGCUAUGACAGUGAUGCUACCUAUGUUUACGACGAGGAUGACUACGAUCGCGACAAUAUGCAGUCAGAGAAAUUGGCAAAGGGGGGCACUAUAAACAGUUGUUUUUCAAGUAACUGUCCCUCGGAUUCAGCGCUAAAAAUAAAAAAUUCUGAAGGAGUUGCCAAAUUAAAAAAGACAUUUCACAAAACGUUAUCUUUACGUAAAUUCCUCAAGCAAAAUUCAGAGACUUCAACAGAGCAAACUUCCGUAUUGAAAAAAUCAAAGGGUAAAAAAGCAAGAAAUGUACUUAGAAUUAAGCUAAAACCACAGCGACAACAACGUAAAAAACAGACAAAAAGCAAAACUGAUGUCAUUAGCAAAGAUUUGACUCUGACUAUAUCCCCAAGAAAAAAUCUCAAACCUGUAACAGAAGGUAGGAAACUGAAUAAAGCCCCACAUCAUGUAAUGAAACUACAUGACGUUUUCAAUUUUGACGAAUGUGAUGACGUUGGGGAUGCAACAAAGGCCCUCGACAGAAAUUGUUUGAUAAAAAAAGAUUCAACAACGAUAAAAGUAAGAAGCAAAAAAAGGAGAAAGAAGAACACGAUUAGGCAAGGUGUACAUAGAGGAAAAAGAAAUUCGGAUAUAUUUUUGUCUACAACCACGAUCGUAGGAGCCACUGAAAAUACGGACGAAGAUGAUCUUCCAAAAAUUCUUCCACCGAAAAGACGGCGGAAUGUUAAGUGCGGCGCAGCAAUGAAAAAUAAGCCUUUUCUGGCAUCAAAUGAUAUGGAAAGAUUGAUACAAGAAUUUCCACGACACAACUGGUUAGAAAACAAAUACAAAACCGAAGAAACAGCAAGGGAUCCAUCCCAAGACACCAACACCUCACCUGAAAUAUAUGAAUAUUCAUUAGACGAGGGGAAAAUGCAGUCAAUAGAAACACUGGAGCAUUUUACGGAGAAAAAGCAAAUCACCAACCAGGAACCUGUGGUAGACGUAGAAAACUCCAGCCCUAAAUAUCCUAUAGCUCUUACCCCUGAGCCUCGGGUUAAUGCGUCGAUUUCCAUUGAUCCGGCUGACAAACAAGAAGAACAGGCAGAAGAUGACAGACUUCAGAUUGUCACUGACGGGGACCAGAAUCACCAAGAAAUGGAUACCCGUAUUCCUUCUGACGAUUGUACAACAUCAGACGAUUUAACAGAAAAUCAAGAUAUCAGUCAGAUGAAAGAAAAUGGUACCAUUGAGGCAGAUGAAACUAAAAAGACAUGUGAUGGUACUGGAGAAUUCGCCCUCUCUGUUGAUGAGCAGGUUGAACAGACACGAAAAUCUACCGACAACGUCCUACCUCCCGUGCCACAUCUCAUUAAAGCGCCUGAUGUAGACGAGGACACAGUUGACGCGUACGAUGAGGUAGAUACCAGAGGGAAUGGAACCUGCUCUACUGCUGGGGAAGAUCAAAGAACGAUCGCAAAUGUUUGUACCUCAGCAAUGGAAGUGGGCAAUGCUUGUGAUGUAGUUACAAAGUCUAGUUCUAUUCCUGACUCCACUUUAAUAGUGACAUCUAAUAUAGGAUGUGGAGUGUCUGCAAAUCAGGUAGAUGGACAUGUAACCAAUGCAAGAAAAAGGAGACUGGUGGAGUGUGAGGAAAUAGUUGAACAAGAUAAGAUAAACUCUGAACCCCCUAUACCUGAUCACGUCCCUAUUAAAAGUCCCAAAAUCCAAGGUUCCACAGUAAUGGACAUUAAUAAAUUUAAAGAAAUCAUAGCUGCAAGGGUCAAAAACGAUAUUGAUCAUCAACUUCAGAAAACUCUAAAGGAAUUUCAAGAACUAGAUCAAUUAGCUGCGGAAAAAGCUCGGGAGGCAGAAAUGGUGAAAAAGCUCCGCGAGAAAAAGCUUAAAGAUCUUCAACAAAUUCAACAGAACAACUCAGAGAUGGAAAUCAAACGAGUUCUGAAUGAAAAACUAAGGAAUAUGGACAGACAAAAGAGUUUCAAUAUGGAAAUGAACAGUCCUCCUCCAGCCCACCAAAGGCCCAAACAAAACAUUAGAGAACUUUUAGAUAAGAUGGAUCGAUCCCAUUCCCAAACCCCGAUUGACUGUUCUACAUACAGUGCAUAUAGUACUCGAAAAACCCCUUUACAUUCUCCUAAAUCCUGUGUCGAUAGUAAACGCUCAACUAGUGCUCAUUCUCAGUUGCCAUCCGUCAGGAAUGAUGUUUCUAGAAAAGAUGCUAGUAUCGGUUCAAACAACAUUCCACAUGCUCACGAAACAGAGAAAAGUUGUGACACCAGGGCAUCUUCAGCUCCAGUAUCAUGUUUUAACCAAAAUGGUUUAAAUAAUCCACUCUCCUAUUCAGAUGCAAGACCGUCUGCUAUACACAUAACUAGUACUAUAACCAAUUCUAGGCCGACGAACAGUGUGAAACAUAGUUUUAAUCCCAAUGCACAAGGAAACACCUACAUUGAUCUCUCUCAGAGGAACACUGACUCAGAAGUCGAAAUUCAACGAGAGCUUAGUCGAGCUUUAGCAGCAAAGAGACAAAAACAAGAUAUAAACAUCAAACAUGAUGUCAGUAAGACAAGAGAUAUCUCUGUGAUUCGAGAGCCUCAACAGGCUGAAGAAUCUUACUCAACCAGACAUGUUUUUCAUCCAUCAAAUGCACACCAAUUGCAUAAUACAAAAUCAAAAGAUACCAGAGGAGUAAAUCAGUAUCCGCCUAAUACAUACCCCAAUCAAUUGAUAAGACCAGUUUCUUAUGGAGGAAUGACUAGUCCUCAAAAUCAGUCCUUAGAUAGAGUGACCAAAUGUAGCACUCGUCUUAUUAAUCCUAGCAUGAUUCGUCCCCAUGCUGUUCGACUCCUUGGAGCUACAGCGUUAGGGAAUGGGCAGCAGCCACCAAUGGAUGGAAGACAAGCAUACCACACUUAUGGUUCGUCUUUUCCGAGGAGCACAUACCAUAACACCGGGUCGAUCCAACAAGGAACGCCAAUCAGACCUGUGCCAGGUAUCGUUAGUCCAACUCAAUCAAAUACUCGAACCACUUACUCUAAUGGAGUGCAAAGUUUAGAAAAUGGUCAAAUUCUACGACAUAUUCCGAUUACGGCUGCCAGAACCACAGAAGAUCCGCAACGAGAGUCAUACGUUCAGUCGAUGCAUCAUUUAGAGGUUGGAUCAGGUCGUAGAAACCCUAACUUCAUAAGUUGGCCUUCUGAUUUCACAUUUCUCUCACAUUCAGGCCGCUAUUUCAUCCCUCCAACCAACUAUGCGACCUCGCAGUUAUAUGCGCCCUUUAGCCCCCGCCUCCUCGGUCAGGGUCCCCCCAACAGUACAUCCGACAGUCGACCACGACACUCAGAAAAUACCUCUCAACGCUGAGGUCCUUAUUACGCAAUCUCCGCAACAGACAAAACCAAACGUGCAUAUGAACGUCAAUGGAAAGUGUAUCGUGUGUUCUAAGUUUGCUUUGUAUCUCUGUUCCAAGUGUCAACUGUUCUGGUACUGUUCUCCUCAAUGCCAACUAAAACAUUGGGUCACCCAUCAACACCAGUGCAAGAACUCUUCUGCUGUGUCCAAGCAAUCAGCUACGGAUAUAAUAAUUAUGGAGAAUUAAUGUUUACUUUAUCGUUUUUUUUACCUAUAUUUAAAAGUGUUCAUACAUAUAAAGGUAAAAUGACAAUGAUAACGAAUAAAUUGUUUGUAUUUACAGUACAAAAAGACUAUAUUUUAACAACCAAGUUAAAAGAUUUGGAUUGUUUUGUAAACCUGUGUAAUGGUGUUGAAUAAUUGUAUUUGAUGAUUUUAUGCGUAUUUAUUUAUACUGGAUCUCUUCAUUGUACCUGUGCUAAAAUGAUUAAGUUGCUCAUACUGCUGAUCUUGUGUAAAUGGUCAUUUUUACUUUUAUCUUAGAGAAAGUCGUUUACUCAUGGUAAUAAAACUAUUAUAUUUUGUAUUGUUUAUCAAGUGUAUCAUUUUGGCAUUUGAAUAUUAGGAGAAACUUUUAAAUGGGCAUUAAAAGGUGUGUUCUGUUCAUUUGCUAACUUUUAUUUCAUUUCAUCAGAUUUGGAAAAUGCAUUUAAUUCUGUAUGUGUGCUGCACAAUUUGUACUUUAGUAUUAUGAAUGUUUUAUACCUUACAUGCAUAACUAAUCAUUUGUCAAUAUUACAUAAUAUGUUAAUAGUAGAAGUGAAAUGAUUGCUAUUUUUGUACAGUUUUUUCUAUUGCAAUCAAUCAUUUUCCAGAAGUGCCAUUUCUUUGCAAAUCCCUUCGUCAGCAAGACGUUAAUCAUUCCAGUCCAAUAAAAAUUUGGACAUAUAGGUUAAAAGAAUUCAUUCCAUGUUUAACUAUCAUCCCUUUAUUUAUAAGAAUUUAUGGACAGAGUUUUGUCACGAUUUGAAUAUAUUGAAUGAAAUAAGAAAUAAAUCUGUUAAAGCUUCGAUUCUAUUCUUGUUAUAUAUUUAUUCUUUGGCAACGAAU
rnacentral:misc_RNA from 1 species